UACAGGGGGUGCAACCGUUGCUCGGAAUCAUUGGGCGUAAAGCGCUCGUAGGCGGUUCGUUAUGUCGGAUGUGAAAGCCCUUGGCUUAACCGAGGAAGUGCAUCCGAAACUGGCGAGCUAGAGUACUAAAGAGGAUCGCGGAAUUCCCGGUGUAGAGGUGAAAUUCGUAGAUAUCGGGAGGAACACCGGUGGCGAAGGCGGCGAUCUGGGUAGAUACUGACGCUGAGGUGCGAAAGCGUGGGGAGCAAACAGG
rnacentral:rRNA from 1 species